rnacentral:rRNA from 1 species
UACAGAGGUGGCAAGCGUUGUUCGGAAUUACUGGGCGUAAAGGGCGCGUAGGCGGUCUUGCAAGUCCCGUGUGAAAUCCCUCGGCUCAACUGAGGAAUGGCACGGGAAACUGCUUGGCUUGAGUUCGGGAGAGGGAAGCGGAAUUCCGGGUGUAGCGGUGAAAUGCGUAGAUAUCCGGAGGAACACCGGUGGCGAAGGCGGCUUCCUGGACCGACACUGACGCUGAGGCGCGAAAGCUAGGGGAGCAAACAGG